CCUGUCUCUCUCGUUCCUCCCCAACUACGCCUCGGCGUACACUUAAAAAAAAACUAGGGUUGCCGCCGCCGCCGCCGCCCCAUUGUUCCUCUGGCACUGCCCACCGGAGAGGGAUGACCGUGGGAGGAGCAGCCACGCAAGGUGGAGCCCUCGUCACGAUGAAGCAGCGGGAAGAGGAGCCCCACCCAGAUGAGUUCCUCCACGUCGCCCAUGGACGGUCCUUCUUCCCUGGAGACGCCCAGGGCUGACGGAUGUUGUUUGUCGUCAGCCCAGGGCCCGGUUGGCCGGAGCAGUCGGAGAGGAGUGGCAGGCUCGCCGUCGCCAUCGCCGGUAGGAGCGCCAGGCCCAUCUUCCUCGCAUCGGCCGGGCUGUUCGCGCGGCGGGGGUGGAGUUCGUGCGAGGCGGAUGUUCGCCGAUCUGUUCCUGCGAGCCCUUGGUUACCUGUGCUGCCUUAUUUCCUAGGUGCCGCCAUCCUAGCAAGCACGGCCACGCCGGCGUCUUCUCUGGUGCUACCGGCAAGCAAUCGACCACGCCGCUGCCAAGCCUCUGGCGCUCCCUGGUAGCCAUCCCUACAUCUCUCUGGUACAACCGUCCCCUUCCCUCUCCUCUAGUAUGGAUCGAAUUUGGCCAUAGAUACUUGGACUGUAGAUAAUUUCCAGAUUUGUGAGCAUUGAUGCUUGUGCUUUCUUGUUCAUGUUCUGGUGAGGAAGAAGGGAAAACGCUGGAGCCAAUAGAUGUUUAGUGGGACUAUGUUCUGAAUUGACAAAGCUAAAGGAAUCACAUGCCAUCUAUCUCUCAAAUUGGUUAUUUGGACGGUGAGAUUAGCUUGUUUUGAUAAUUUUUCUCAAUGCAAGGAAGGAAACAGAAUAUGGGGAUUGCAACUAUGGAAUGGGGAUUAGAUAUUCUUGACAGAGAGGCAUAGAUUUCUAAUGUCAGUCUUUGAUAGAGUUCACAUAUGACUGCAGUUUUUACAUCUAUGGAAUUGUGAUUGGAUAUUCUUGAGUAUCCAGUUCUUCACUGUUAAUUGAAUAUAUAUUGGAAGUCAAAUUUCUAGUACAAGUUAAAGUGUGAUAGGGAACUGCUUAACAACAUUAUAAACUGUUGAACCAAAAGCACUUCACUGAAAGAGCCAGAGUAUGCUUAUCAAUUUAUUGUCCGCCUCACAGUGGUUGUAUUUAGGUUACUUUUUUGCCCUGAGUUUCAGCAUUGACUCAUUGUUUGCAUAUGUGAUCAGAUUUCCAUUCUUCUUUUAGGCAACAGAUAGGUUUAUUGAUAUGGCUCGUAUGCAAGCUCCUGCGGAAGUGAAUCUCAAUUUGCCAGUAUGAAAAAUUACGCUUGUGCGGCAUAUGCUCAUUUGCUAUCAGAUGGUUACAGCUUAAGGCAUGCUAUCAAACACGCAAGAUGGAGUUGAAACUGUUCGUCUUUGCCUAGCAGCAUCAGAAUUACAAUUUAGCUGUAUCUCAGGUCACAAAAUGCUUUGGAUAGCGUAUGUACUCAUGUCAGUUGCAUUCCAUGUCUUUUUUCUCGUCUAUUUUAUUUGGAUCAGGAGAUGGAAAAUUAAGGUAACCAUUCUCGGUGUCGUCACUAUCAUCCUCACAUCGAGAUGUCUCCAACAAUGCCGCCAUAAUUGUCCCUCGUGUUGUCAUUGUCAUCCUGAUAGGCAGCUCGAAUGCUUGGUUAGAGGAUCCCAGGUGCAAGGCAAACCGCCAUCUUCUCUCACUGUUCAUCGUCUCUAGACGCACCGCCGUCGACAUCAGCUACCGCCUAUACAUAUGAUCCAUGUAUCAUCUUUAGUAUCUCUCAUGCUCAGGAGAGGCAGAGGUCACCCAGCUAGCUCGUGCAGCACCAAGGGCGAUGGAGAUAUGCAAGCACAUUAGCUGAUGAGAGGAUGUACUAAAUGUUAUGCAGAAACCAAAUGAAUAACUUUUCUUGCUCAUCCCUAUAUCAUGUUCUCAGUCUUGUAUCUUCUGAUCAGUUAAGUCAUUUUGGCUUGUGAUCUUUUUUCCAUUCAGUCAGUCUCAAAUCUCAUCUUGGCAUAUACAUAAGAAAGAAGAAGCCAAGAGCAUGUGAAAUGUAUCUGUACAUGUCUGCCACAUAAUUCUAGCUUUUAUUUGCUCCGCGAAAAUAGUUGCACGGGAGGCGUAAUGAGAUGCUUCAGCAAGAAAAGUGUGCCACAAGCACGCACUUGGCGGGCCCCAGCCACUUGUAGGUUAGGGCACGCCUCCUUUCUCCUUCGUUUCUAGGUACCGUGUAUAGCUUGAGAGACAAGUUGAGUUGAUGUUGUGCAUCCUUUGUACCUAUACAUGUGCACUUGCACGUGAGCAAUGAAUUGAGUCACAUCCAAUCCAA